UAGCUCAGUGGGUAAAGAAUCUGCUUGCAAUGCAGGAGACCCAGGUUUGAUUCCUGG
rnacentral:tRNA from 1 species